GACGAACGCUGGCGGCGUGCUUAACACAUGCAAGUCGAACGGGCCCGCUCUCUUUUUUGGGGGUGGGUUGAGUGGCGAACGGGUGAGUAUCACGUGAGUAACCUGCCCCCUGCUCCUGGAUAACUGCUUGAAAGGGCGGCUAAUACGGGGUGUGCCGGCUGGUCCGCAUGGGCCUGGUCGGGAUAGUUUCAUCUUCGGGUGUUUCGGUGGGGGAUGGGCUCGCGGCCUAUCAGCUUGUUGGGGGGGUGAUGGCCCACCAAGGCGGUGACGGGUAGCCGGCCUGAGAGGGUGGGCGGCCCCACUGGGACUGGGACACGGCCCAGACUCCUGCGGGCGGCAGCAGUGGGGGGUAUUGCACAAUGGGCGGAAGCCUGAUGCAGCGACGUCGCGUGAGGGAUGGAGGCCUUCGGGUUGUGAACCUCUUUCUCCGGUGGUGAAGGCCCUGUCCGUUGCGGCGGGGUUGACGGUAGCCGGGUAUGAAGCGCCGGCUAACUACGUG
rnacentral:rRNA from 1 species